rnacentral:rRNA from 1 species
CCCCUUUGCCGGCGGCCUACCAUGCAGUCGAGCGGAACGAUCCUAGCUUGCUAGGAGGCGUCGAGCGGCGGACGGGUGAGUAAUGCAUAGGAAUCUGCCCGGUAGUGGGGGAUAACCUGAGGAAACUCAGGCUAAUACCGCAUACGUCCUACGGGAGAAAGCAGGGGCUCUUCGGACCUUGCGCUAUCGGAUGAGCUUAUGUCGGAUUAGCUGGUUGGUGAGGUAACGGCUCACCAAGGCGACGAUCCGUAGCUGGUCUGAGAGGAUGAUCAGCCACAUCGGGACUGAGACACGGCCCGAACUCCUACGGGAGGCAGCAGUGGGGAAUAUUGGACAAUGGGGGCAACCCUGAUCCAGCCAUGCCGCGUGUGUGAAGAAGGCCCUCGGGUUGUAAAGCACUUUCAGUGAGGAAGAAGGCUUGUCGGUUAAUACCCGGCAAGAAAGACAUCACUCACAGAAGAAGCACCGGCUAACUCCGUGCCAGCAGCCGCGGUAAUACGGAGGGUGCGAGCGUUAAUCGGAAUUACUGGGCGUAAAGCGUGCGUAGGCGGCUUGAUAAGCCGGUUGUGAAAGCCCCGGGCUCAACCUGGGAACGGCAUCCGGAACUGUCAGGCUAGAGUGCAGGAGAGGAAGGUAGAAUUCCCGGUGUAGCGGUGAAAUGCGUAGAGAUCGGGAGGAAUACCAGUGGCGAAGGCGGCUUCUGGACUGACACUGACGCUGAGGUACGAAAGCGUGGGUAGCAAACAGGAUUAGAUACCCUGGUAGUCCACGCCGUAAACGAUGUCGACUAGCCGUUGGGGUCCUCGAGACCUUUGUGGCGCAGUUAACGCACUAAGUCGACCGCCUGGGGAGUACGGCCGCAAGGUUAAAACUCAAAUGAAUUGACGGGGGCCCGCACAAGCGGUGGAGCAUGUGGUUUAAUUCGAUGCAACGCGAAGAACCUUACCUACCCUUGACAUCGUGCGAACUUGGUAGAGAUACCUUGGUGCCUUCGGGAACGCACAGACAGGUGCUGCAUGGCUGUCGUCAGCUCGUGUUGUGAAAUGUUGGGUUAAGUCCCGUAACGAGCGCAACCCUUGUCCCUAUUUGCCAGCGAUUCGGUCGGGAACUCUAGGGAGACUGCCGGUGACAAACCGGAGGAAGGUGGGGACGACGUCAAGUCAUCAUGGCCCUUACGGGUAGGGCUACACACGUGCUACAAUGGCCGGUACAAUGGGUUGCAAAGCGGCGACGUGGAGCUAAUCCCAUAAAGCCGGUCUCAGUCCGGAUCGGAGUCUGCAACUCGACUCCGUGAAGUCGGAAUCGCUAGUAAUCGUGCAUCAGAAUGGCACGGUGAAUACGUUCCCGGGCCUUGUACACACCGCCCGUCACACCAUGGGAGUGGACUGCACCAGAAGUGGUUAGCCUAACUUCGGAGGCGUCACCACGUUGGUACC